CCUACGGGAGGCAGCAGUGGGGAAUAUUGCACAAUGGGGGAAACCCUGAUGCAGCAACGCCGCGUGAGUGAUGACGGCCUUCGGGUUGUAAAGCUCUGUCUUCAGGGACGAUAAUGAAGGUACCUAAGGAGGAAGCCACGGCUAACAACGGGCCAGCAGCCGCGGGAAUACGUAGGUGGCGCGCGUUGUCCGGGGUUACUGGUCUGAAAGGGAGCGUAGGCGGACUUUUAAGUGAGAUGUGAAAUACUCGGGUUCAACUUGGGUGCUGCAUGUCAAACUGGAAGUCUAGAGUGCAGGAGAGGAGAAUGGAAUUCCUAGUGUAGCGGUGAAAUGCGUAGAGAUUAGGAAGAACACCAGUGGCGAAGGCGAUUCCCUGGACUGUAACUGACGCUGAGGCUCGAAAGCGUGGGGAGCAAACAGGAUUAGAUACCCUUGUAGUC
rnacentral:rRNA from 1 species